AGGAGCGGUGUGAGGUGAAAGUCUCACGCACCGUUUUGAAGCCGAGCCAGAAUGGUGACAUAUCUGGC
rnacentral:ncRNA from 1 species